rnacentral:rRNA from 1 species
UACAGAGGGGGCAAGCGUUGUUCGGAAUUAUUGGGCGUAAAGAGCUCGUAGGCGGUUUGUCGCGUCGAAUGUGAAAACCCGGGGCUCAACCCCGGGCCUGCAUUCGAUACGGGCAGACUAGAGUUCGGUAGGGGAGUCUGGAAUUCCUGGUGUAGCGGUGAAAUGCGCAGAUAUCAGGAGGAACACCCGUGGCGAAGGCGGCCUGCUGGGCCGAUCCUGACGCUGAGGCGCGAAGGCGUGGGGAGCGAACGGG